ACUUGAAAAGACGGGAAACGGUGGUAUUUCGUGAUACGUACUCGAGCGGUAAGGGAUUUACAUAUAACAUACAUAAACACAUAAACACAUACACUUUACUGAGACUCCCUUCAUCAGGGCUUUCAGUCACAAUGUUAACCAUUACAUAAUACUGGUAAUUAAGAAAACUUAUUUACAGUAAUUUAACUAAAUUCAAAAUAUAUUCAAAAUUAUUUCUAUAUGAAACAUAUAUAUUAUUAAAAAAUUAUCUGCUUAAAAUUAUUAAUUUCUUUUAGUGUUCUUAAUAUUGUCAGCUAGCCCAUUCCUUUCCCUUGGAUCUCGAAAGUAAAAUGCCCUUCUUCCCAUUGAAAACAUAUCAGGGGGACCACAAAAUUGUUUCAUUCCCUUGUGUUCUUGUUGUGAACUGCUGAACGUUUAACAAAAUAUUUACCUAAAUAAUCUGGAGCUAAGCCAUUUACACAUUUAAAUGCUAAAACUAAGUCAUUAAAUGAAACCUUCUCUGUAACAUCUAACCAGCUAAGAGAUCUCCUUCUCUGGGAGAUGUAGUCAAACUUCCUAACCCCUAAUACAACUCUGGUAGCAAAAUUUUGUACUAGCUGCAGUUUGUGUAUAUUAUGUUUGGAUGUGUUCUCCUACACUGAGGAACAAUAGAAUAGUUUACUAAAAACAAAGCUAUUUGUAAGUAAUAAAAGUGUUUUCUUGUCUAAAAGGUGUUCAAUUCUACUUUUCGGUACUAACUGGUUCAUGCAACCAGAGGCUGGUUUAGUGAUAUGUACAUUAUAGGUAAGAUAUUGAUCAAUAUAUACCCUGAGAUCCUUAGCAAACGAAACUGGUGUGAUAGUUUUGUCCUAACAGGGAUAAGGAGAUAUGAAGUAGCCUCCUAAUAAGUUGUCUAAUUUUGUCUUCUCAGGGUCUAUAAGUAGAGAACUCUCUGCACACCAUUUACUCAUGUUCCUAAGAUCUUGGUUUACAGCUGCCAACACGUGCAGGCCAGUGUCAAUAAUUCUCUCCCCAAGACCACAUUCUUUAUCCAAACCGUGUUCCCUUGUUAUCAAGUUCGCAUUAUGGGUAGUAAGUCCUCCUUCUGAUAAAAAGUACUGUUGAAUUUAUUUGCCUAAGUCUCAUGGUCCUUCAAAGUGCUUGGACAUUUAGCUAUACCACGAGACAUACAAUUGAUUUAAGAUCUUCCAAGUGGCAUUUGUAUUUCCUCUGCUAGCUGUUAUCUGGUAUUUUGGAUUUGCAUUGAGGAAGUCAUGAUGUACAGCUGUUAGAAUGAAAUAUUCUGAUUUUGGCUUAGGAAUGUUUCGUUAUUUUGUAAGGCAUCUUAUGAAAGUCUUAAACUAAAUUCUACUAGGUUUUCAUUUCAUCCUUAGGUUUGUAUGCCUUUCCCGAACAUCUGAUCAGAAAGCCAGCAUGAUUUACAUGAAAUAGCUGUAAGUUGAGCUCGGAAACAUAUAAUUUCAUGGACACAAUCUUUGAAUAAACUUCUCCCCAUCUAUAAUAAGCCUCAUUCCUCCCCCUGAAACUAUUUUUCCAGUUAAAAACACAGGGCAGCCUGAUAAUGCUAUGCAAAUGGUUUAUUUUAUAGUAUUGUUAAUUUUAUAUUUAGGUUAAGCAGCAUUGCAGUUCGAAAUAUGCUUGUUUUAAAGACUUAAAUACUUGUUAUCAUUCAAAAAAUAUUUACUGUGGGGUUGUGAGAUGAAGAAAUGCAUACUGUAGAUAGCUUUCCUUAAAGCUGUGAAAAAUUUCAUUAAUAUGGGAAAGUUAUAACAUGUGUAGGGGUUCCCAGUGAGCUCUUAAUAUUAAUGAUAAGCUCCCUGCUCUCUUGGCCUAUAUAUCUCCAACAAGGCCCCCCUUUCCCUUAUCAGGAGGAGUUAAAUGUAAUAAACUCCUCCUCUAAUAUGAUCAUUAGAGCAUUUGCAUCAAAUCUAAAGCAGUGUCUGAAAUGCUGUUUGUCAUGUUACUGCUAUGACAUGGGAGAAUUAGAGUGAGAGGGGUACAACAGAUACUUGUGUAAAAGGGCCCUCAUGGUGAUAGGAAAUGGGGGAAAGCUAAAUGUGAUUAAAGUGAAAA
rnacentral:lncRNA from 1 species